ACCAAGAACUAGUUAAAAUAUACUAAAAAAUAAUUACCCAGGUUGAAUCUACUUAUAAUUACAAUUUUUGCAUUUCACAACUUCUGUAACAAGAAACAAGUAGCUUGAGAUGCCA